GCGACGGGUGAGUACACGUGGGCAAUCUGCCCUUCACUCUGGGACAAGCCCUGGAAACGGGGUCUAAUACCGGAUAACACUCCUACAGGCAUCUGUGGGGGUUAAAAGCUCCGGCGGUGAAGGAUGAGCCCGCGGCCUAUCAGCUUGUUGGUGAGGUAGUGGCUCACCAAGGCGACGACGGGUAGCCGGCCUGAGAGGGCGACCGGCCACACUGGGACUGAGACACGGCCCAGACUCCUACGGGAGGCAGCAGUGGGGAAUAUUGCACAAUGGGCGAAAGCCUGAUGCAGCGACGCCGCGUGAGGGAUGACGGCCUUCGGGUUGUAAACCUCUUUCAGCAGGGAAGAAGCGAAAGUGACGGUACCUGCAGAAGAAGCGCCGGCUAACUACGUGCCAGCAGCC
rnacentral:rRNA from 1 species